rnacentral:misc_RNA from 1 species
GAUGAAGAACGCAGCGAAAUGCGAUACGUAAUGUGAAUUGCAGAAUUCAGUGAAUCAUCGAAUCUUUGAACGCAUAUUGCGCUCUCUGGUAUUCCGGAGAGCAUGCUUGUUUGAGUAUCAGUAAACACCUCAACUCCCCUUUCUUUUUUUGAAAUGGGAGCUGGACUUGAGUGAUCCCAACGCUUUUCUCACCGAAAAGUGGCGGGUUACUUGAAAUGCAGGUGCAGCUGGACUUUUCUCUGAGCUAAAAGCAUAUCUAUUUAGUCUGCCUAAAAAACAGAUUAUUACCUUUGCUGCAGCUAACAUAAAGGAGAUUAGUUCUUGUGCUGACUGAUGCAGGAUUCACAGAGACAGCUUCGGCUGGCCUUUGUAAACUCGAUCUCAAAUCAAGUAAGACUACCCGCUGAACUUAAGCAUAUCAAUAGCGGAGGA